GAUGAACGCUGGCGGCAUGCCUAACACAUGCAAGUCGAUCGGUAAGGCUCUUCGGAGUACACGAGAGGCGGACGGCUGAGUAACGCGUAGGAACACACCCUGCAGUGAGGGAUAAGACACCGAAAGGUGUUCUAAUACCGCAUACGGUCUUCGGAUUAAAGCAUUUAUGCGCUGAAGGAGUGGCCUGCGUCAUUAGCUAGUUGGUAAGGUAACGGCUUACCAAGGCAACGAUGCGUAGCCGACCUGAGGGGGUGAGCGGCCACACUGGAACUGAGACACGGUCCAGACUCCUACGGGAGGCAGCAGUAGGGAAUCCUACGCAAGGGGCGAAAGACUGACGGAGCAACGCCGCGUGAGUGAAGAAGGUCUUCGGAUCGUAAAACGCUGUUAUUAGGGAAGAACAAAUGUGUAAGUAACUAUGCACGUCUUGACGGUACCUAAUCAGAAAGCCACGGCUAACUACGU
rnacentral:rRNA from 1 species